rnacentral:rRNA from 1 species
UACGUAGGGUGCGAGCGUUGUCCGGAAUUAUUGGGCGUAAAGGGCUCGUAGGCGGUUUGUCGCGUCGGGAGUGAAAUCCACUGGCUUAACUGGUGGCUUGCUUUCGAUACGGGCAGACUGGAGGUAUGCAGGGGAGAACGGAAUUCCUGGUGUAGCGGUGGAAUGCGCAGAUAUCAGGAGGAACACCAGUGGCGAAGGCGGUUCUCUGGGCCUUACCUGACGCUGAGGAGCGAAAGCGUGGGGAGCAAACAGG